rnacentral:rRNA from 1 species
UACGUAGGGUGCGAGCGUUAAUCGGAAUUACUGGGCGUAAAGCGUGCGCAGGCGGUUCGUUGUGUCGGCGGUGAAAGCCCCGGGCUUACCUGGGAAUGGCCGUUGAAACUGGCGAACUGGAGUGUGGCAGAGGGGGGUGGAAUUCCGCGUGUAGCAGUGAAAUGCGUAGAGAUGCGGAGGAACACCGAUGGCGAAGGCAGCCCCCUGGGCUAACACUGACGCCUCAGGCACGAAAGCGUGGGGAGCAAACAGG